rnacentral:rRNA from 1 species
GACGAACGCUGGCGGCGUGCUUAACACAUGCAAGUCGAACGGAAAGGCCCUGCUUUUGUGGGGUGCUCGAGUGGCGAACGGGUGAGUAACACGUGAGUAGCCUGCCCUUGACUUUGGGAUAACUUCAGGAAACUGGGGCUAAUACCGGAUAGGAGCUCCUGCUGCAUGGUGGGGGUUGGAAAGUUUCGGCGGUUGGGGAUGGACUCGCGGCUUAUCAGCUUGUUGGUGGGGUAGUGGCUUACCAAGGCUUUGACGGGUAGCCGGCCUGAGAGGGUGACCGGCCACCUUGGGACUGAGAUACGGCCCAGACUCCUACGGGAGGCAGCAGUGGGGAAUAUUGCACAGUGGGCGGAAGCCUUAUGCAGCAACGCCGCGUGCGGGAUGACGGCCUUCGGGUUGUAAACCGCUUUCGCCUGUGACGAAGCGUGAGUGACGGUAAUGGGUAAAGAAGCACCGGCUAACUACGUG